rnacentral:rRNA from 1 species
AGAGUUUGAUCCUGGCUCAGGAUGAACGCUAGCUACAGGCUUAACACAUGCAAGUCGAGGGGCAUCAUGGCGGUUGCUUGCAACCGCUGAUGGCGACCGGCGCACGGGUGAGUAACGCGUAUCCAACCUGCCCCUGUCCUCGGGAUAGCCCGCCGAAAGGCGGAUUAAUACCGGAUGCUGUCACAAGACGACAUCAGAUUGUGACGAAAGGUUUUUUUUCCGGACAGGGAUGGGGAUGCGUCCGAUUAGGCAGGCGGCGGGGCAACGGCCCACCGCGCCGACGAUCGGUAGGGGUUCUGAGAGGAAGGUCCCCCACAUUGGAACUGAGACACGGUCCAAACUCCUACGGGAGGCAGCAGUGAGGAAUAUUGGUCAAUGGGCGAUGGCCUGAACCAGCCAAGUAGCGUGAGGGACGACGGCCCUACGGGUUGUAAACCUCUUUUUCGCGGGGAUAAAAUGCGGGACGCGUCCCGCCUUGCAGGUACCGCGUGAAUAAGGACCGGCUAAUUCCGUGCCUGCAGCCGCGGUAAUACGGAAGGUCCGGGCGUUAUCCGGAUUUAUUGGGUUUAAAGGGAGCGUAGGCGGCAUGUUAAGCGUGCUGUGAAAUGCGUCGGCUCAACCGCCGCAGUGCAGCGCGAACUGGCUUGCUUGAGUUCGCUGAAGGAAGGCGGAAUUCGUGGUGUAGCGGUGAAAUGCUUAGAUAUCACGAAGGACCCCGAUUGCGAAGGCAGCUUUCCGUAGCGUUACUGACGCUGAAGCUCGAAGGUGCGGGUAUCGAACAGGGUUAGAUACCCUGGUAGUCCGCACGGUAAACGAUGGAUGCCCGCUGUCGGCCUUUCUGGCCGGUGGCCAAGCGAAAGCGUUAAGCAUCCCACCUGGGGAGUACGCCGGCAACGGUGAAACUCAAAGGAAUUGACGGGGGCCCGCACAAGCGGAGGAACAUGUGGUUUAAUUCGAUGAUACGCGAGGAACCUUACCCGGGCUUGAACUGCGGUGGAAGUUGCGAGAGAUCGCUUCGCCCUUCGGGGCCGCCGUGGAGGUGCUGCAUGGUUGUCGUCAGCUCGUGCCGUGAGGUGUCGGCUUAAGUGCCAUAACGAGCGCAACCCCUCUCCGUAGUUGCCAUCGGGUUAUGCCGGGCACUCUGCGGACACUGCCACCGCAAGGUGUGAGGAAGGUGGGGACGACGUCAAAUCAGCACGGCCCUUACGUCCGGGGCUACACACGUGUUACAAUGGGGGGCACAGAGGGCAGGUCGUACGCGAGUGCGUCCGAAUCUAUAAAUCCCCCCUCAGUUCGGACUGGGGUCUGCAACCCGACCCCACGAAGCUGGAUUCGCUAGUAAUCGCGCAUCAGCCAUGGCGCGGUGAAUACGUUCCCGGGCCUUGUACACACCGCCCGUCAAGCCAUGAAAGCCUGGGGCGCCUGAAGUCCGUGACCGCGAGGGUCGGCCUAGGGUGAAACAGGUGAUUGGGGCUAAGUCGUAACAAGGUAACC